rnacentral:rRNA from 1 species
GACAUAGGUGGCGAACGUUAUCCGGAAUUACUGGGCGUAAAGUGUGCGUAGGUGGUUUAAUUAGUUAUCGGUGGGAAAUUGGGGCUCAACCCCACGGAAGUCGAUAAUACUAUUAAACUAGAGGAUCGGAGGGGUUAACGGAAUUCACAUGUGGAGCGGUAAAAUGCGUAGAUAUUGGAAAGAACAUCAGUGGCGAAGGCGACUUCCUGGACUGAUACUGACGCUCAGGUACGAAAGCGUGGGGAGCAAACAGG